GGAACAAAAAAAAAGGGGGUGGAAGGUUGUUGUUUCUAAGUCCCACAUUGGUUAGAUGAGGAAAGAGAAGAGGUGCCUUCAUGUAUAAAAAGGAGGGGGUGUGUGCAUUAGGAAGCAUGAGAGGCUAAGAUGCAAUUUAGAGAAAAUUGCAACUUUUGGCCCAAAGGUUUGAAUAAUUAAAUUCAAACCUAUAGUUUUUUUUAUAUAAUUUUGGGACUCACAAUCCCAUUUUUAUAUUAUUUUUCUCUCUUCCUCUCACGUUGCUCGGCGUUUUCUCGCAAGGGGGGAUUAUUUUCUUUUUUCUUCAGAUUAUAUUGACAAAGAUAGUGGUGAAAAAGGAGUUGUGAAGGGGAACUUGUUAUUCAAGACACAAGGAGCGAGUCCGGCCGAGAAAGCACCAGAGGUGUAACUGUG